UGUCUGGAAUCACUGCCAAGCUGAAAAAUGAAGCCCCUGCCAAUCAGAUAUUUCCAGAUGGUGGAUCAAAAUCUGACUGUACUCAUUUUCAUAAUUCCAUCAGGUUUGCUAAGAUCCCCCAAUGAGAACCAAGCAACAGCUUGUAUUGCAGGAGGGCAUGUAUAGACAUAGGCCCAGAAGGGAAUUGUAUUAGACUGGCAGCAGCUCAGUGCAGGCGACAGGUUGUUACUGAAAGUGCGCGGCGAUAAGGAGAGCUUGCUUCGUGGUGGAGAAAAGGUCAUGACGCUUGGGAAUCCACCCUGAAAACAUACAAUGUCUUGGCAAGGUGGUUCGGCCACUUGCGUCAUUUCUUCCUGCAAUUGUUCAGCAGGUCAACGCGCAGACACAGCUGGCAGGAAGAGAGAUGCUGAACCCACCAUAAAGCUAGCCAAUCAGAUUGCUCCUAUGCAGAAAGCGGCAGCCAUCCUUGGCCAGUCUCUGGACCAUCUCCAGUCUGGACAGGUCCUCCUUGUCAUGCAGGAUGCACUUGUUCCCGUGCUGCAGCCCAGGGGACACAGAGAACAUGUAUCUGAGGCCAC